rnacentral:rRNA from 1 species
GAUGAACGCUGGCGGCGUGCCUAAUACAUGCAAGUCGAGCGAACAGACGAGGAGCUUGCUCCUCUGACGUUAGCGGCGGACGGGUGAGUAACACGUGGAUAACCUACCUAUAAGACUGGGAUAACUUCGGGAAACCGGAGCUAAUACCGGAUAAUAUAUUGAACCGCAUGGUUCAAUAGUGAAAGACGGUUUUGCUGUCACUUAUAGAUGGAUCCGCGCCGCAUUAGCUAGUUGGUAAGGUAACGGCUUACCAAGGCAACGAUGCGUAGCCGACCUGAGAGGGUGAUCGGCCACACGGGAACUGAGACACGGUCCAGACUCCUACGGGAGGCAGCAGUAGGGAAUCUUCCGCAAUGGGCGAAAGCCUGACGGAGAAACGCCGCGUGAGUGAUGAAGGUCUUCGGAUCGUAAAACUCUGUUAUUAGGGAAGAACAAAUGUGUAAGUAACUAUGCACGUCUUGACGGUACCUAAUAAGAAAGCCACGGCUAACUACGU